CGAGCGACAAACUCUUCCAAAGCUAGCAAGCUGAAGAGAACACAAGCAGACACGAAAGCCUCCAGGACUGAGCAUGGCGGCGAAGGCACAAAGUGGAUUCGUGCCUCCAAUGCGAGGGUCUUCCGGCCAGCAGAAUGAUCGACCAUAUGCUCCGGCGGAAGCUAGCCAAAAGGCGCCGUCGCCUAGCAGAGGUAAAGCGUCGUCGACCGGAACAACCCCUGAGUCCAGCAACGGCAACAACUCAUCGAGAACGCCAUACAAAGCAGACGAUGGUAAAACGACCUGACAAAAAGGCAAGGGCAUAUCUAGGCGGUGAAUGGUCUGUGUGCGGAAGAAGAAUCAUGUGAAUAAAUAUCAGUUUGUCCUAGUUUAUCUGUCAAGUACUAUAUUUCGUGGACCAAGAAACCUCUAUACCUAAAUAUGGAUAAUGGAUUGUAUAGCUUGUGAAAGUUGUCAUGUAGACAAGUAGUAUUUCAUUCGUUCAUGCAUGUUCUUCAUUUAUAUCUAUACCUUAGUUAUGUUGGUGAAUUUGU